UGGGAGCUUGCUCCUGGAUUCAGCGGCGGACGGGUGAGUAAUGCCUAGGAAUCUGCCUGGUAGUGGGGGACAACGUUUCGAAAGGAACGCUAAUACCGCAUACGUCCUACGGGAGAAAGCAGGGGACCUUCGGGCCUUGCGCUAUCAGAUGAGCCUAGGUCGGAUUAGCUAGUUGGUGGGGUAAAGGCCUACCAAGGCGACGAUCCGUAACUGGUCUGAGAGGAUGAUCAGUCACACUGGAACUGAGACACGGUCCAGACUCCUACGGGAGGCAGCAGUGGGGAAUAUUGGACAAUGGGCGAAAGCCUGAUCCAGCCAUGCCGCGUGUGUGAAGAAGGUCUUCGGAUUGUAAAGCACUUUAAGUUGGGAGGAAGGGCAGUAAGUUAAUACCUUGCUGUUUUGACGUUACCAACAGAAUAAGCACCGGCUAACUUCGUGCCAGCAGCCGCGGUAAUACGAAGGGUGCAAGCGUUAAUCGGAAUUACUGGGCGUAAAGCGCGCGUAGGUGGUUUGGUAAGAUGGAUGUGAAA
rnacentral:rRNA from 1 species